rnacentral:rRNA from 1 species
AGAGUUUGAUCCUGGCUCAGGAUGAACGCUGGCGGCGUGCUUAACACAUGCAAGUCGAACGAAGCACUCUACUUGAUUUCCUUCGGGAAUGAUUGUUUUGUGACUGAGUGGCGGACGGGUGAGUAACGCGUGGGUAACCUGCCUCAUACAGGGGGAUAACAGUUGGAAACGACUGCUAAUACCGCAUAAGCGCACAACUUCGCAUGAAGUGGUGUGAAAAACUCCGGUGGUAUGAGAUGGACCCGCGUUGGAUUAGCUUGUUGGCGGGGUAACGGCUCACCAAGGCGACGAUCCAUAGCCGACCUGAGAGGGUGACCGGCCACAUUGGGACUGAGACACGGCCCAAACUCCUACGGGAGGCAGCAGUGGGGAAUAUUGCACAAUGGGCGAAAGCCUGAUGCAGCGACGCCGCGUGAACGAAGAAGUAUUUCGGUAUGUAAAGUUCUAUCAGCAGGGAAGAAGAAUGACGGUACCUGACUAAGAAGCACCGGCUAAAUACGUGCCAGCAGCCGCGGAAAUACGUAUGGUGCAAGCGUUAUCCGGAUUUAUUGGGUGUAAAGGGAGCGCAGGCGGCGCGGCAAGUCUGAUGUGAAAGCCCGGGGCUCAACCCCGGUACUGCAUUGGAAACUGUCGUGCUAGAGUGUCGGAGGGGUAAGCGGAAUUCCUAGUGUANCGGUGACAUGCGUAGAUAUUAGGAGGAACACCAGUGGCGAAGGCGGCUUACUGGACGAUAACUGACGCUGAGGCUCGAAAGCGUGGGAGCAAACAGGAUUAGAUACCCUGGUAGUCCACGCCGUAAACGAUGCAUACUAGGUGUUGGAGAACAUGGUUCUUCGGUGCCGUCGCAAACGCAGUAAGUAUUCCACCUGGGGAGUACGUUCGCAAGAAUGAAACUCAAAGGAAUUGACGGGGACCCGCACAAGCGGUGGAGCAUGUGGUUUAAUUCGAAGCAACGCGAAGAACCUUACCAAGUCUUGACAUCCUUCUGACCGUCCUUUAACAGGGACUUCUCUUCGGAGCAGGAGUGACAGGUGGUGCAUGGUUGUCGUCAGCUCGUGUCGUGAGAUGUUGGGUUAAGUCCCGCAACGAGCGCAACCCUUAUCUUUAGUAGCCAGCAUUUCGGAUGGGCACUCUAGAGAGACUGCCAGGGAUAACCUGGAGGAAGGCGGGGAUGACGUCAAAUCAUCAUGCCCCUUAUGACUUGGGCUACACACGUGAUACAAUGGCGUAAACAAAGGGAGGCAGAGCCGUGAGGCCGAGCAAAUCUCAAAAAUAACGUCUCAGUUCGGAUUGUAGUCUGCAACUCGACUACAUGAAGCUGGAAUCGCUAGUAAUCGCAAAUCAGAAUGUUGCGGUGAAUACGUUCACCGGGUCUUGUACACACCGCCCGUC